CAUUCUGUACAACGUAAGCAAAUUCUAACCUCUCUGCCUAAGCUCCCUAUCAGUAAAAUGAAAGUAAUGGUAAUACCUACGUCACAGGCUGUCCUGGAAAUAACAUGUGAGAAGUACUUAGAAUACUGCUUGGCACAUGUGCACCAAGUCCCCUCCAAGGAGAGACCCUGGGUAAUGAUGAUCUUUGGUGUCAACUAAGAUUCUUAAGAACUGGAUCCUCGUGAUUCCUAUGUGACCUGAAGAUGUGGCCAGUCCACCACCAAAGCAAGGAAGGAGAUAUGAGAAGGAAGUUUCGUCUCCUACCCAGUGCAUCAUUACUGGCAACAGUGAGAAGCAGAGCUGGGAAUUUGAGAAGCAAACCAAUGCCUUCUGCUUCUCAUCAUUAUUCCUGACAACAGACAGAAAAGAGGCAAACCUUCACCUUCUGUGGUCGCUUCUGAUACUCAGCCGGGAACCUCAUUCUCAGUAGCUACAGAUUUCCCUAAUCACUCAUCUUAACUUGACACUGCGUUCUAGUGCCUUUCGUGAGAAGGGUCUUGGGAGGCCAUAAACCUAUGUUGCUGGGAAAAGAAUGUACUGCAAUAAAGAGAGCAGGAGAGGAGCUGCAGAUUUCCAGCUCUCACAGCUUGUUCACUUGUGGAGACUAGGCUGCAAUGUGCUCUUGAAAUCAUUGGGGUGGGCCUUGUUUCUGAGGAAAUAAAGAGGCCCCAGAACCUCCCAAGUGAGCGAAAAAAUGAUUUCCAGAUACUCAAAUGGAGUGGCCUUCUGGCUACAUGAGCUGGAUGUGCUUGGCAGUCUUUCCAUCUGGCUGGCCAGUAUCCUGAGGUUAGCAAAGCAGAAGGCAAAUCUUUGGGGAGCUAAAAGACAUGUGCACGUGCCAGUAUUUUUGACAAAUGCUCAGUUAAUUGUUUUCUAUGAUUCUUCUCCCGAGACACAAACUGUGUGCACCAGGCACCAAGAACUAUCCCCAUCCCACCACCCCAGAUCCCAAGGGAAACUUCAUAAUUACACACGUUUGGGCCAAACAUCUACCCCACAGGAAAUGGACACAUCAGCCCCUAGGGAUGAAAGAAUGAUGCAGGGCAUGGGAAAGCAGAGAAAUCUCCUGAGUGAGAAAGAAGACAAAUUCACAGAAGCCUGAGAGCCUAUAUACCAGUAGGAGAAACUCAGAAUUUCUUUUCAGGAUACUAAGGAAAUGGUGGUCAGAAGAGGCCCGGGACGGAUGAAAUUCACCAAAGUCUCUACCACAGACAUUCUCAGAUGGUCCUAAUAAAAAGAAGAAACCCAAACCAGAACUGGUGGUCCACAUUGUGAGAGUUGCUGAAUAUCAUCACAAAGCAAUAAUUAUCCAACAGCAUGCUUGGUGGCUCAACAUUCUGAAAGGCAAAUGUCAAGGGCACAUAGUCUCAACCAUGUUGCUGAUGGGAGCUCAUGUUUUUUGUGUUGGGUGGUCUUGUGUUCUGCCUGGUGGUCUUUCUUCUGCCUGCUAUGACAGCACUAAUGAUUUCAUGUACACAGUAUUCACUUGUCUCCCUUUAGUAGUGCAUGACAAGUCAUAAAAGACAGACUGCCCAGAAAUGACACUGCAGUAUUCCAGACAUUUUCUCUCUUGGUGGUGACAGUUCCAAAUCAAGCUGGCUCAGUGCUUUUAAGUCAAAGCAUUUGUCGAAGUGGCAGUUUGAAACACAGCCUUAGAUCUGGAGAAUCAAACUAGGCUCUUCUCACCUCUCCCAUCAUUGCUGGUAAUAAAUAUUCAACUGCUGGACCACAGCUAGCAGAUUAUGAUAGAUGACACAGAAUAGAA
ensembl:lncRNA LINC01142 long intergenic non-protein coding RNA 1142